UAAUUGCGUAUCUUUAUGGUUGCCAGAUUUUGACACAAAACCCACCUAAUCUCAUAGGUUAUAGCCAACAAUUUUGUGGGUGGGAGGUAGUUGUAGAGAUGUAGAUGUCAAAAAUAUAGGCUAGGUAAAUAGAUAAAAUCAAUUCCCAUGAUAUAUUUUUAAUAUUAUUAUUUUGCUUUCUAUUAAACACACUAAUUACAUAAAGAGCGGAAUCGUACGCGAUAUACCUGGCAACCAAUCAUCUAAACCGUCAGCCUGCACUCAUUUUCCAAUUCAUUUUCUGAGCCUUUGAGGAUGAACAAGACCAACGAGAACCAGUCAGGUAAAAAUCAUUGGUGAAGUCACCAGAUGUGGAUGGCGUGUAUGUUGUUCGACAUUGCAGCGUGCUGAUGAGUUAAUAAAGAGGUAAGUCAUUUUCAAGUCUGUUUAUCACAUUGAUGUCGGUCAAGCUGUAGUGCAACUUAAUUUUUGUGUUUUGUUCUCUAUAG